CGCUGGCGGCGUGCUUAACACAUGCAAGUCGAACGGGAUCGGCUGGAGCUUGCUCCGGCCGUGAGAGUGGCGAACGGGUGAGUAAUGCGUGACCGACCUGCCCCGUACACCGGAAUAGCUCCUGGAAACGGGUGGUAAUGCCGGAUGCUCCAGUCCAUCGCAUGGUGGUCUGGGAAAGAUUUUAUCGGUAUGGGAUGGGGUCGCGUCCUAUCAGGUAGUCGGCGGGGUAACGGCCCACCGAGCCUACGACGGGUAGCCGGCCUGAGAGGGCGACCGGCCACAUUGGGACUGAGAUACGGCCCAGACUCCUACGGGAGGCAGCAGUGGGGAAUAUUGCACAAUGGGCGCAAGCCUGAUGCAGCGACGCCGCGUGCGGGAUGACGGCCUUCGGGUUGUAAACCGCUUUUGUUGGGGAGCAAGCCUUCGGGUGAGUGUACC
rnacentral:rRNA from 1 species